AAUGAGUUAGCUAGUAAUAACCUAACAAAGAGAACUUCAGCUAGGCCCCCCGAAACCAGACGAGCUACCCACGAACAAUCUAUUGCAGGAUGAACUCGUCUAUGUU
rnacentral:rRNA from 1 species